ensembl:lncRNA
ACAUAUGGUGUAUUACCUCUCUGUUACACAUACACACACACAUGUAUUUACUUAAUAUUUCCUUUUUCUUUUUUUUGAGACAAGGUCUCACUCUGUCACCCUCACUGGAAUGCAGUGGUGUGAUCAUGGCUCACUGCAGCAGCUUCGACCUCUUGGGCUCAGGGGAUCCUCUCACCUUAGACUCCCUAGUAGCUGGGACUACAGGUGUGCACCACCACACUCAGGACUCAAGAUGGCGCUGUGAGAACAACCCAGGAUUGGAGCUCUUCUCGUUGAAUCUGCAAACGGGUCAGCUGGACAGACCGGCAGGUGGUGCGCCCUGUGAGUAACGCGGCAACAGAUCGCGAUGGGAAUUCCCGAAAACGAAGUGACUGCGCAGUCUUUCUUCCGAGUGAUGCUCUCUGCUCUGGUGUGGUCAUGUUCUGUCAGGAAGACACAGGGAAGCAGAUGGCAGUUUCCCUGUUCAGCAGUGAUGAGGACUUCCUGGAAUUGCUGAAGUUAUAUACAUCACAAGCAGGGCUUUGGGGAUCCUACUACACGUUCUUUAGUGUCAUUAUUGCCUUCUCGUAGUGUGACUUUUCUGUAAAUGAUAAUACCAAUUUUGCACACAUUCUUCAAAAUAUGAGGGUAAAUUCUAUUGUUUUGCUUCUGUCAUCUCCUUCCCCCUAGUUUUCCUUCAAAUGUAAGUUCUUUAUCAACAUACUAAUUUCUGAAAGACUGCUAAAGUCAUAUUCCUACUUGUGGCUUUGGUGGAACUCAUUAUGGGGAGGGCUCCCACAGGUGUUGAGUAUGUUAUCUGAAAGGACUGGAAGCAUGUGGGCUGCAUCUUCAACCAAUAGCAGAAAAGUUUGCAUGCCAAGUGCCGUUCUGUUGUCCAUUCCUGUCAUGUGAAUCUGGUUCCUCAUUUGAUUCUUAAUUACCUUUGUGUGAAAGUCCUCCUUGUACCGGUAAAUGAGCAUAUGAUAAACAACAAUAAAAUGUUUUUUAAUUAGUUUGAAGUGUAAAUUUACUAUUGAUUUGUAUCUUAUAGCUGAUGGAAUGCUCUUAACAUUUCUCCAGACUUUAAAAAAAUUUAAUUUAUAGCCUAUUCGUGUUUUCAGCUCAGUCCAUGGUUUUCUAUUUAUUUUUAUUUUUGUAGAGAUGAGGUCUCACUAUGUUGCCCAGGCUGGUCUCAAAGUCCUGGCCUUAAGUGAUCCUGCCACCUCUGCCUCCCGAAGUACCGGGAUUACAGGUGUGAGCCACUGCAUCUGGCUAUUUAAAAAACAUUUCUCUGCAGAAUUCUGUAGUUUCAUCUGAAGGCCUUAGGUACCAGGCUCAAGAAGGAGGUGAUCAUUGAUUGGUUAAUUCAUUCAUCUGCAAACAAAUAUUUAUUGAGCACCUCUUGUAUCCAGGUGCUUUUGUAGGAACCUAGAAUACAGUGCUGACCGAGGUACCUGGUCUUUUUUCUCUUGGAACUUACACUGCCAUAGGGAGAUAGAUAAUAUGCAACAGGAUUAAGUGAUAUGCCCGCAAGGCACUUACCACAGGGCCUGGUACAUAAGUGCUCAAUAGAUAUUGUUAUUAUUAUUUAUUGUGGAUACUGCUGUUAUCAGAUGGGUGCAGUUAGAUUGUCCCUUUUGACAUUCACAAUGUUGCCU